rfam:Lottia gigantea unplaced genomic scaffold LOTGIsca_75, whole genome shotgun sequence.
GCUGCGAUGGCCGAGUGGUUAAGGCGUUGGACUCGAAAUCCAAUGGGAUAAUCCCGCGCAGGUUCAAAUCCUGCUCGUAGUG